UACGAAGGGGGCUAGCGUUGCUCGGAAUCACUGGGCGUAAAGGGUGCGUAGGCGGGUCUUUAAGUCAGGGGUGAAAUCCUGGAGCUCAACUCCAGAACUGCCUUUGAUACUGAAGAUCUUGAGUUCGGGAGAGGUGAGUGGAACUGCGAGUGUAGAGGUGAAAUUCGUAGAUAUUCGCAAGAACACCAGUGGCGAAGGCGGCUCACUGGCCCGAUACUGACGCUGAGGCACGAAAGCGUGAGGAGCAAACAGG
rnacentral:rRNA from 1 species